GGGGAAUAUUGGGCAAUGGGCGCAAGCCUGACCCAGCAACGCCGCGUGAAGGAAGAAGGCUUUCGGGUUGUAAACUUCUUUUCUCAGGGACGAAGCAAGUGACGGUACCUGAGGAAUAAGCCACGGCUAACUACGUGCCAGCAGCCGCGGUAAUACGUAGGUGGCAAGCGUUAUCCGGAUUUACUGGGUGUAAAGGGCGUGUAGGCGGGAUCGCAAGUCAGAUGUGAAAACUGGAGGCUCAACCUCCAGCCUGCAUUUGAAACUGUGGUUCUUGAGUACUGGAGAGGCAGACGGAAUUCCUAGUGUAGCGGUGAAAUGCGUAGAUAUUAGGAGGAACACCAGUGGCGAAGGCGGUCUGCUGGACAGCAACUGACGCUGAGGCGCGAAAGCGUGGGGAGCAAACAGGAUUAGAUACCCUGGUAGUCCACGCUGUAAACGAUGGAUACUAGGUGUGGGGGGUCUGACCCCCUCCGUGCCGCAGUUAACACAAUAAGUAUCCCACCUGGGGAGUACGAUCGCAAGGUUGAAACUCAAAGGAAUUGACGGGGGCCCGCACAAGCGGUGGAGUAUGUGGUUUAAUUCGAAGCAACGCGAAGAACCUUACCAGGGCUUGACAUCCCGCUGCCCGGUGUAGAGAUACACCUUUCCCUUCGGGGACAGCGGUGACAGGUGGUGCAUGGUUGUCGUCAGCUCGUGUCGUGAGAUGUUGGGUUAAGUCCCGCAACGAGCGCAACCCCUAUUGUUAGUUGCUACGCAAGAGCACUCUAGCGAGACUGCCGUUGACAAAACGGAGGAAGGUGGGGACGACGUCAAAUCAUCAUGCCCCUUAUGUCCUGGGCCACACACGUACUACAAUGGUGGUUAACAGAGGGAGGCAAGACCGCGAGGUGGAGCAAAUCCCUAAAAGCCAUCCCAGUUCGGAUUGCAGGCUGCAACCCGCCUGCAUGAAGUUGGAAUCGCUAGUAAUCGCGGAUCAGCAUGCCGCGGUGAAUACGUUCCCG
rnacentral:rRNA from 1 species